rnacentral:rRNA from 1 species
UAGCGUAUAUUAAAGUUGUUGCAGUUAGAACGCUCGUAGUCGGAUUUCGGGGCGGUCCGACCGGUCUGCCGAUGGGUACGCACUGGUCGGAGCGUCCUUCCUGCCGGAGACCGUGCCUACUCUUAACUGAGCGGGGGCGGGAGACGGCACUUUUACUUUGAAAAAAUCAGAGUGUUUCAAGCAGGCAGCUCGCUCUUGCAUGGAUUAGCAUGGGAUAAUGAAAUAGGACUUUGGUGCUAUUUUGUUGGUUUCGAACACCGAAGUAAUGAUGAGAAGGGACAGUCAGGGGCACUCGUAUUCCGCCGAGAGAGGUGAAAUUCUCAGACCAGCGGAAGACGAACCACUGCGAAAGCAUUUG